UUGAAUAUCUCCCAAAAGAUGUCUGUAAUAGACACCUAUGAUCUUCCCAAAUCUAGUGAAACAAGGUUUCCUAAAUGAAGAUGAUGUCCUUUGGAAAUCAUACUUCUUUCACCUCCUCCAAUUAUUCUCCCUAACCCACAAGUUCUUGAAAAGUUUAAGGUCACUCAAGCCCUAUUGGCAAGGCAAGGUCUAGGUGUGAUCACAUCUUGGAGAUGUAGUCACAUAUUGACAAGCCGGGAGAGUUGGGUGUCAAAGUCUUGAGAAAGUUGGUGGUUCAAUCACUUUCUAAGUCACAUAGUGAGUUCCUUUGGGACACCUAUGAAACAGACUAUGACAAGACCCUUAAUGAUCUUAUCUAUUUGCUAAGAUCAACUUCCUAAAACUUUAUGGACAUUGACAAUGAUGACAUUGGAUAUCCAGUAAAGCAUUCUCUUCCCAAUGGAAAGGGAUCGGCCAUAGUCAACUCGGUUGACCAAAUGGUAAAGAGAAAAGCUAAGUCUGUGAUAGUCCCGUGUACCAUUAUCAAAGGGUCCAUAUGUUUAUAUUGCCAAAGGAAGGGGCAUUGGUUGCGAAGCUGCCAAAUUUACCUAAGGAUGUUAAAGUCAAUAAGUUUGACUCUACUUCAGGUAAAGUCCACUAUCUAACUCUGUUAAGUUUCUAUUCUGAGAUUCCUGAUACAUGAUGUGACUGGGUCACAUGGUGAUGUUUUAAGAAUCAAAGAAAAGUGAAGAAACUUAAAGAAAGAAUAUGCUGAAUCUGAUGGCGUAGAUGGAUUUCUAUCGCAUAGUUUGAAGAUCGGAUUCUUGAGCAACUUCUUAGGAGUUAUGAGAUAUUGCUUAGGAAUAGAUAACAACAAGUUUUCAUAUGGAUUGUAAGGAUAAGUUUUUCCGCAAAGUUUUAAAAUAAAAGAAAAUUUUUGAUUUUAUUUAUUUUAAAAUAUCCUUACAAUGGCAUUUGAGGAAAAAUUGUUGCUUAUAUGAUUCCAUUAAUAGCAAGAGUGGAAAUAUGAAAUUGAUUCUUUCAUUUGUGGUAAUGUCUAGAUUUACCAAAUAAGGAAAGAUUCUCAUCACCCAAGUUUCAAUUGGACCGGAACUUGGAAUCAUGCAAGUUGUAUAGCAUGAUGAAUGAGAACUUUCAAGUUUUGGAAAAUUAAGACUAAUUACUCGGCCACAUGGAUGUGUGAGUCAAGUAAAGGACUAAGGGAUCGAGUACACAUUCUUGUGCACUGAUUAAGUCCACCACAAAAGAUUGAUAAGACUAUUCGUCAUAGUUUACUAAAGCUCAGUAAAUAUGAUUAUACUUACAAGCUUAAGUGUAACUCUGAGACAUUGGAAAAGGUUCCAAUGUAUGGCAGAGCGAAUAAGAAGAAUCAAAUUAGGCAGAAGGAUAAAAGUUUCUCAAAUCUGAAAAGAUGGGAGAGUACUUUAGUAUCAGUUUUGUGAUCAUCUUAAUGAUUAAGAAACCAUAUCAAAAUUAGUUCUCUAAGGAAAUCUUAGUGCAUUCUUAUGACUAAGAAGAGGAACUUGAAUUGUUGAAAUGGUUAAAUCAAGAAGAUGAGUCAUACUUCGUUCCAAUACAAGUCUUAGAGUCAUACUCCAAGAUUGUAACUUGAGUGACAUGUCUUAAAGAAGGUUUAAAACACUUGUCAAAUGUAAGAGUAAAAGUUUUCUACUCUUGUACAUUUGAAAUUGGUAAGUUGUGAUGUUUUGGAUAAAACAAAGACCAACUUAGGCCAAUUGUGUGAAGUGUUUGUCUUGAUUAGAAUCCACACUAUCUCUUGGAUAUUUGACAAGGGAGUCUUAUAGGUCAAGAGGUCAGUGGGAGUCUUAAAAGUCUUGAAAGUCUCAAGAACUAAUCAAGAAUAAAACCUAAAGUUCUUCACUAGCACACAACUUGAGGUUCAUAACCUAUCGUGUUGACAUAUUCUGUGCCCAUUCCAGUUAAAGUUGGUUUUGCAUAUGAGUUCUUAGAGUUCUCAAUUUGUUGCACAACAACUUGGAAGCAAUGGUAGGCCCUUGAGCUGCCAGGUGGCAAGAAAUUAAGAUUGAGUUCAGUCCAUAUGAGUUUGGAUUUGUCAUUAUCCUUGUCUUGUGACUAUGGUUUUGACAAUUCACAUGGAUAAGAACACAUACACCAUUAAAUCUAAGUGUCAUAAGGUUUCUCUCCGAUUCAUGAAAAUGAUGGUGAGGAAACACUUUCACUAAGUAGAUUUUAGCUAGAUAGCAAUUGUGAUAUUUGCAUUCUCAAAGUCGUUAGUGGAGCGCGUGUGGUUAACCGGCACACUAAUUUGGACUUGUGAGAAGUGGCAAAAAGGUCUAAACAUUAUGAUUACGGCAUCCCUCUUCAUAAUUGUUUAGAUACACAAGUGUGCUAUCUAAGGGAAGGUGUAUGAUUUUGAUACAGCUUUAUCAAAACAAUCUAGCAUCAGAAAUCUGAACUUUGGUAAGAAAGUCAAUGAAGUAUUGAUUUCUAGAAGUCCAGCUGAUUUCUGAGUACAUGUCAAAGCUAGUGGGAGCAUAAGUGUUAUGCUAAUAAUCAUCAUGUUAGUGGGAGCAUGAUAAUUAUGAUAAGUAUUGCAAGUUAGCAAUGUUAAUUAUAGAAAACAAAAGUUUCAAUUGGGAAAAAGUUGUUUUGCUAUAAUUAAGGGAGAGGAAAUUAUACUUCAUCUCAAAUCUAUAAGCUUAGAUCGUGAGGUUUUAAUCAUUUAGUCAAGGAUAUAUAUGAAUUUCAUGUUGGAAUGGCUCAACAUAAGGAAAUUCUGUAUAUGGGUCCAUUAUUUGCGUUCUAAAAUUCGAUUAUGAUUACGGCAUCCCUUUUCAUAAUCUGAAUUAUGAGAACUUGGCAAAUUGAAAUGGAAAUAUUAUAGCAAAAGACUGGUUUAGUCUUUAUGUAAGACAUCAUGAAUCGUGUCCCAUAUGCUUCGGAUAUAGGAUCGAUUACAUGUGCUAUAUUCAUCCGUUCUAAAAUUUUCCAAAUGCCUGGGGCAUUAAGAAGGGAAAAGGUUUAGAACUGGAUAUGACUAAAAGGAUUAAACAAUUGUCGAGGACAAUCUAAGGUUUACCAAAGAUUGGUUGCUCAAGGACAGUUGGAAGUAUAGUGAUAAUUCUGGAAGGACCAUAUUGACAUAAUCUGUAAGGAGGCAACUCUUGUUCAGAAGUGAUAGUCAAAAUGGAAUCUGGAAAUGUUUCAAAGUUAGAAUUUUCAAUCUGUUUAAGAUUAGGAAACUUAAUGCAAGAAGGAUGUUUCCAAGGAGCUGAUCUCCUUUGGAAUACUCUGUAAUGAUUGUUGUCAAGUCUUUCUGACUUUGUGCAUAAUCAUUACAAGAGGAUCAAUGCAUAUAAGUUUAGAAUCUAACAGAUUUCAGUAAAUGGCAUGAAUUUGGAAUUCUUGCAUUUGCAGUAAGGAUUUGGGAGUGUGAAAAGAGAAUCAUUGAAGUUAUGUUCAAUUGAUCUAGUUCACAAAGUAAAGAUCAUAGACAAACAUAGUAUGCAUACUUGGUGUGUGGCAUGACUAGUGUUUAAGAAAACAUAGUGUACAUGCUUGGAGCAUGGGACAACUAUUGUUUUAAAUUCAAGAAUAAAGUUGAUAGCUGAAACAGUAUACAAUGAAUAAUGUGUAAUCAUAUGGUGAUAAAUAAAAGGUGUUUUAUUUAUGUUCAAAGGGUUGAUACCAUAUUGGAUUCAAUUAUUAUUGUGUUUCACUUUGCAUGUUUUGACUUCCCGAAUAAACUGGGUUAUUCUUCCGGAAUGACUAAGUUAUUCAAACCAUCCACAGUCGGUCAUAUGUUGGAAGUAGAUAUGAAUUAAGACUGUCAUGAUGGGUUGUAGAGGUCUAAGGUGUUGGACAAGGCUACAACAAUCAUGAGUGCUCAUAAGUUCUGAGUAUUGGAUUCAACCCGCGCUCAUUGGAAUCACUUCAUGGAUUUUAUCACGAGUGAUCAUGAGACGAUAAUAUCUUAUAUUCUUCAAACCUAGAGAUAUGAGUUGUUACUAUGAGUUGAUAGUACAUUGAUAGCACGAAAACGCAUUUGGUAACUCGGUGCUAUAAAACGUGCCUUUGUGUAUGAUUCAACAAGUAGUAGAACAAGCCAUAUGAGUCGAAGUUUAUCCGUUCCUUUUACCUUCGGGAUAAAAGCGAUAUCUGUGGGCCCCUCGAUGAUUUGAUGAUGACAAAUGGAAGUGCUCGGCCGGGCCAGGACUGAUUUGAUUUGUUCAAUUAGUCAGUCGUCAUAAAUCGGAAAUCGGGAAACAACAAAUGGACAGAGAGAAUGAUUAUAAUCCAUGUCUCAGUCCAUAUGAUAUCUAGAAUGGAGGAAUAUAUGAUCCCUUAUCUAAUGGACAAGUCACUGACAAAGGUCAGAGUUCAUCUACAAGGUCAGAGUUCGACAGAAGCUUUUGAGAGCUACGAUUGCCGGUUGGUUCCUGAAGUCAUACGCAAUAAUAGUUUUAGACUUAUCCAAGUGGGAGACUGUUGGAUUAAUGUCUAAGUCCAUAACUAUAUUUGGUAAGACUUGACCCGACCCGGCAUGGUCCAUUUGGGUUGCAUACCAUCAUGCACUUGAAUGAGAGAAAUAAGACACUUAUGGUUAUUAAUAUAUUAUAAGUUCUAGUAUAUUAAUAAUAAGAAUAAUAAGAUUAUUUAAUUAGUAUUGAUCAAGAAUUAAUCUAGGAUUAAUUAAGUGAUCAAAAGAAGACUAAUUAAAUAUAUGGGUUGAUUGUGUAAAUCAUCCAUACUUGUAUAGUGGGCUAAUGCUCCAUGGAUAAUCAAGUUGGGCUAAAACCCAUAGGAUGGUCCAUGGAUGCUCCAUGGUGUAUUUGUACCCAUGGAUCCAAGGAAAUGGAAAGCCAUGACAAUUAAGAGUUUACCCUAAUUGUGUAACUAUAUAAGCAUCUUAUUAUUGAGGAAAAAUCGGCCACUAGUAGUAUUCAAGAAAGGGCUAGCCGAUUUUGGUGAGUGUAGAAUUCUCUCAAGUCAUUCUAAGUGUUUUGAUGAUUGUGAUUCCAUUUGAGGUGUCACACUUGGGGCACUAAGCACUCAAGCUUCAUGAAGACUUUCUACAUCAAGAGGUAUGUAUUCUAUCUUGUUACAUUAUUGUUUUGUAUGCUAGAUUAGGAUAAUACCUUGGAAGUUCUUAUUUGCAUGUAUAAUAGAGAAAACAUAGAUCCAAGGUAUUUAGGGUUGCAUGUACACUUAGGAAGUGUUAGAAUGCUCAAAACCCAACAGUGGUAUCAGAGCCACGGGUUGUUUUCUGUUAUAUUGAUGCAAAUAUUUUAUUUUCAAAGUUGAAAAAAAAAAAAAAAAAAAACAUGAAGUUUGUCAAAUUUUAAGAUAAUUACUUGUUCUUGUGAAAAACUAAUUAUUUGUAAAAUUUGAAUAAUUUGCUUUAUGAGUUGAAUUAGGUCAAAUUUAAUAAAAGAUAAAAUAAUAUGAUUAUUUUAUUAGUUUUAAAAGUUUGAUCUAAAGAGUUUUAUUUUUUGAAACCUCCAUAAGUUAUGGAUAUGAAAAGGUUUUAAAAAAAAAAUUGAUUCAAAGUUUUUUUGGAGUUACAAAAUUUGGUGUUAAUGUUUUAAAGGAUUCCAUAACUUAAGAAUAAGUUAUGGAUCACCAAAAGUUUUUUGUGUUACCUUGUUUUAUGAGUGAAUUUAGAUUAAUGAAUAAAAUUAUGUGAUAGUUGGUUUUAAUCCAAAUUAAUCUAAGAAUUGAUUCUAAAAUGUGUUUUUGUAACUUGUCCUCAAGUUAUAUGAAAAGUCACAUUUAAGAAUCAUAAAACUCAUAAAAAUUGGCAAAGGUUACAAAAAUGAAGAGUCUAGUUCUAAUUAAAUGGUUUUAUGACUCCAUAACUUGUCCUCAAGUUAUGGAGGACCAAGAGUCUCUUCAUUUAAUAAAAUAAAAUAAAAAAAAAAAAAGUGUAACCUUAAUUAAUUCCAUAAGUUAUAAAAUAAAGAAAAGUUAAUUCUUUUAUUAGUUUAAAGUCUUCCAUAACUUGUCCUCAAGUUAUGGAACUUGAAGAGUUUUUGGAUUAAAACUACUUUAAACACAUAAGUUAUGGAAUUAAUUAGUUUUGAAUAGUUUCAAAACUUGCCCUCAAGUUUUGGAAUUUGUAAAGUUUUCACUUAUGAAUACUUUAAUUCCAAGUUAGCCCUUAGAAUUUUAAAAGUUAAAAUUCAACCCUUAUACUUUAUAAUAUUAUAAGUUAAUAAUAUAUAUAUGUAUAAGAGUAAAGUCAGUCUUACCGCUAGUACGCCUCAUUCACGAAGCCGGUCUAUAAGGUGGGUAUAAGGUUGUUGCCUAUAAAAUGGCAACUUAAUGGGUGUCCACUCUCACCCACCGCUUGCUUGACUGGUGGAGGGUCGUUAGCCGAACGGGUUUGACAGGACUAGAAUUCUCCCUUCAUUAAAAGUAUUAAUGAUAAUACUAAGUAACUAAACUCUUAAUAAUACCCAAUCUUAGUUACUUAGGAAAAAUGUGAAUAAGGUGCUAAUCCAUGAAAUUACACUUUACACUUUGUCUAAGUCGUUAGUGGAGCGUGUGUGGUUAACCGGCACACUAACUUGGACUUAACAAGGUAGGUAAAGGGUGACUUAAUAUUUAUCAUAGUAUCGAUGGAGCGUGUGUGGUUAACCGGCACAUCGAUUGAGGGGUAAUUUAUUAAGGGUACCAAGUGAUUUGCAUGGUUACUUCACACCUUGUUUUGUGAUCCUCGGCAUCCCAGUCACAAAACCUGAAGGGCACACUCGAGAUUGAAACAUGCCUUUGAACAGUUCAAUGAAUCUCAAAGAUCUAGGAGUUUCAAAACCAAUUAAAACCUAAUAAUACAUUUCGUUUAUCUUGGUGGAAAUUGGUGAAUCGUCAUUCACCUACCUUCAAAUAUUUUAUAGCUUGGAUUACGGCAUACCUCUUCUAAGUUAUAAAAUAGUUUGUUGGGUCCUAGCCUUAAUAUUUCAUAUUGGGUGUCAUAUUAAGGACUUUAAAUCAACUAUCUUGAAUAUCUCCCAAAAGAUGUCUGGUUUAGACACCUAUGAUCUUCCCAAAUCUCUUGAAACAAGGUUUCCUAAUGAAGAUGAUGUCCCAUGGAUAUCAUACUUCUUUCUCCUCCUCCAAUUAUUCUCCCUAACCCACAAGUUCUUGAAAAGUUUAAGGUCACUCAAGCCCUAUUGGCAAGGCAAGGUCUAGGUGUGAUCACAUCUUGGAGAUGUAGUCACAUAUUGACAAGCCGGGAGAGUUGGGUGUCAAAGUCUUGAGAAAGUUGGUGGUUCAAUCACUUUCUAAGUCACAUAGUGAGUUCCUUUGGGACACCUAUGAAACAGACUAUGACAAGACCCUUAAUGAUCUUAUCUAUUUGCUAAGAUCAACUUCCUAAAACUUUAUGGACAUUGACAAUGAUGACAUUGGAUAUCCAGUAAAGCAUUCUCUUCCCAAUGGAAAGGGAUCGGCCAUAGUCAACUCGGUUGACCAAAUGGUAAAGAGAAAAGCUAAGUCUAUGAUAGUCUCGUGUACCAUUAUCAAAGGGUCCAUAUGUUUAUAUUGCCAAAGGAAGGGGCAUUGGUUGCGAAGCUGCCAGAUUUACCUAAGGAUGUUAAAGUCAAUGAGUUUGACUCUACUUCAGGUAAAGUCCACUAUCUAACUCUGUUAAGUUUCUAUUCUGAGAUUCUUGAUACAUGAUGUGACUGGGUCACAUGGUGAUGUUUUAAGAAUCAAAGAAAAGUGAAGAAACCUAAAGAAAGAAUAUGCUGAAUCUGAUCGCAUAGAUGGAUUUCUAUCGCAUAGUUUGAAAAAUCGGAUUCUUCAGCUACUUCUUAGGAGUUAUGAGAUAUUGCUUAGGAAUAGAUAACAACAAGUUUUCAUAUGGAUUGUAAGGAUAAGUUUUUCCGCAAAGUUUUAAAAUAAAAGGAAAAUUUUUGAUUUUACUUAUUUUAAAAUAUCCUUACAAUGGCAUUUUUGAGGGAAAAUUGUUGCUUAUAUGAUUCCAUUAAGAGCAAGAGUGGAAAUAUGAAAUUGAUUCUUUCAUUUGUGGUAAUGUCUAGAUUUACCAAAUAAGGAAAGAUUCUCAUCACCCAAGUUUCAUUUGGACCGGAACUUGGAAUCAUGCAAGUUGUAUAGCAUGAUGAAUGAGAACUUUCAAGUAUUGGAAAAAUUAAGACUAAUUACUCGGUCACAUGGAUGUGUGAGUCAAGUAAAGGACUAAGGGAUCAAGUACACAUUCUUGUGCACCGAUUAAGUCCACCACAAAAGACUGAUAAGACUAUUCGUCAUGAUUUACUUAAGUUCAGUAA
rnacentral:lncRNA from 1 species